rnacentral:piRNA from 1 species
UUUGAUGUUGUGCUAGAACUUUGCUACUUU